rnacentral:rRNA from 1 species
CGAAAGCGUUAAGUAUCCCACCUGGGGAGUACGCCGGCAACGGUGAAACUCAAAGGAAUUGACGGGGGCCCGCACAAGCGGAGGAACAUGUGGUUUAAUUCGAUGAUACGCGAGGAACCUUACCCGGGCUUGAAUUGCGACUGACUGCAUCAGAGAUGAUGUUUCCAGCAAUGGCAGUCGUGAAGGUGCUGCAUGGUUGUCGUCAGCUCGUGCCGUGAGGUGUCGGCUUAAGUGCCAUAACGAGCGCAACCCUUUUCCCUGUUUGCCAUCGGGUAAUGCCGGGCACUCCAGGGAUACUGCCAUCGUAAGAUGUGAGGAAGGUGGGGAUGACGUCAAAUCAGCACGGCCCUUACGUCCGGGGCUACACACGUGUUACAAUGGGCGGCACAGAGGGCAGCGACCGCGCGAGCGGCAGCCAAUCCCGAAAUCCGCUCUCAGUUCGGACUGGAGUCUGCAACCCGACUCCACGAAGCUGGAUUCGCUAGUAAUCGCGCAUCAGCCAUGGCGCGGUGAAUACGUUCCCGGGCCUUGUACUCACCGCCCGUC